GGCUUUCUCUGGUUCACAGGCAUGAUUGGGUAUUCACACUAUUGGGUGACAUGUGCCUCCCUCAAACCUUGUAAUGAUAUUGGCACAUUACCCAUCUGACA